ACAUUCUAUACUUUAUUUACUAUAUUCUAUCCCCCUACAAGUAUGUCCAAAGAAUCUGAGGACCAAUGCCAAUAAUAAUCAUCACUUGUAAACUUACAUUUUCUUACCUACUACUUAGUUACCCUCAGCUAUUUCUCUCUCUUUCAUGGUCCCUUCUGCCUCAGUUAAAUUCUUUAUGAGCAAAGGAAAGACAAAGAAACUCUCUGAAUUUUCAGGACUAUUUUCUUUGAGAUUUGUGGCUUUUUUUCCGUGCCUCUUAACUCUGCAGUACUGACGGGUAUGGUAUGUGUGGUACUGUACUAGACCCUCUGUGGUUUCUGCAUAAAUGAGGCAAGGCCAAAGAUGACUGCUCCAAGUGAGAGAAGAUACUCCAGGAAAAGUACCUCUGCUCUUCUAACCUCUGACUACACACAAGAGCAGGAACUGCAGGUGUUUCCUUCAACACAAGGAAAAGCACUGAAAAAGAGUGUAAAGAGGGAGAGGUGGUUCUUGUGAAGCUCUUUCCAGGGGCACGGGGAGAUGAAGGGUCUCCAUCAGGGUCAAGGUGUGACCCCAUGAACUCAUCCCAGGGUCAUGUCUGUCUCCUGUACACUGAGCAGGGACCGGCUCCUGCAGCACUGCAUCCCUGCCUGGCUGUGAUUCUUGGCAGCUCAUGGAUUUGCUUUUCAUCUCCUCAAAGCAGCAGGAGAACAACAGUGGGUUUAUAAGCCCAGAGGAAAUUGUCCACCAAGUUUUGAAUCCCUGGCAGAGGACUCUAGCUGUAAUCAUGGCAGGAUGAGGGGAAAUCAGAGCCCUGCUUAGGGUAUAGUAAAUAAAAUGUGGGGGGAAAAGCAAGGGCAAAUGAACAUAUUUAAAAACAAAAUAAAUCGGCUAUGGAAACACAGUUUAAAAGCUGAACAUGGAAUUUUUUUCCAGCCUUGAUCUGGGAGAGAUGCAAUAUAAUUUCAUUACUGAAAAAGGCUGUGCUAAGAGUCCAGUGAGAUGAUCACUCACUUAUCACUCCUAACACUAUUUGUUUUCAGAUGACAAUUACAAAACCCAGAUGUGAACCACUAGGAGAUUUUAUAUUAGGACUGGGCUUCUCAGUGAGUUUCAAAGGUAGCCAAAAUGGU